rnacentral:rRNA from 1 species
AGUGAACGCUGGCGGUAGGCCUAACACAUGCAAGUCGAACGGCAGCACAGUAAGAGCUUGCUCUUACGGGUGGCGAGUGGCGGACGGGUGAGGAAUACAUCGGAAUCUACUUUUUCGUGGGGGAUAACGUAGGGAAACUUACUCUAAUACCGCAUACGACCUACGGGUGAAAGCAGUGGAUCUUCGGACCUUGCGCGAUUGAAUGAGCCGAUGUCGGAUUAGCUAGUUGGCUGGUUAAAGGCCCACCAAGGCGAGGAUCCGUAGCUGGUCUGAGAGGAUGAUCAGCCACACGGGAACUGAGACACGGUCCAGACUCCUACGGGAGGCAGCAGUGGGGAAUAGUGGACAAUGGGCGGAAGCCUGAUCCAGCCAUACCGCGUGGGUGAAGAAGGCCUUCGGGGUGUAAAGCCCUUUUGUUGGGAAAGAAAAGCAGCAGGUUGAUACCCCGCUGUUCUGACGGUACCCAAAGAAUAAGCACCGGCUAACUUCGUG